rnacentral:lncRNA from 1 species
AUGAAUUUUCCUCCACAUCUUGGAAGUUGGGGGAAAAAGAAAAUCGCUAUCUUUAGAGAUGCUGGUGUCCCACAUCCUGUUGGUCUCGUCUCUCCGGGACUGUGGCCCUCCAGGAGAAAUUCCCUUCUGAAGGAGAAGCAACAGCCUAGAGGACCUCUUAGAAAGGACCGACUUGUCUUUGGAAAAGACUCAGAAGAGCCCGUUAACUUGGCUUCCUCACUUUGCUCAUCAUCGGCCCCAUCAGCAGAGAGAAAUAAUGACUCCUGAAUCAUUUCAGAAUCAAAAAGUUAAAAUGAUGUCUCAGUGACGCUACAACGUGCCAGACGCGGGUGAAUGGUUUGAAGAUGCUGGCCUAGCAAGAUGGCAACAGGUUUAAAACACUGGAUUCAUAAGAAGUUCCUUUUGUUCAG